CUUUAUGUCUAGCAGCAGGCUGUGGCUCGUGGUGGGGGAUGAACGCAAGGUGGCUGACUCUGGCAUCUGUGGACGUGGAAUUUGUCUUCCUUCCACACCCGAUCUGUGAAACAAACUAGCCAGGUAGCACUGGUGAGCCUGGAAUCUGAGAAAAGAUUAUAGCAGCAGCAAGUAGAGAUGAACGAAAAGCUGGUAUCAAAUGCUAAUGGCAGAGAAAAGGCCCAAGUACCUUCCCUCAUAAAGCUCCCCUGGCCAUCUGACAGGUUGGCCCCGUGGAAAGAGGUAUAGUCUCUUUUUCUUGACUACACUUUCCAUGAUGUUUAGAGAGAGGAAGAAGAGAGAGAAGAGAAAAGCUGUCUGCACUGGAAUUUUUGUGGAUUGUUGUUGUUGUUAUGUGCCUUCAAGUCGAUUUCAACUUAUGGUGACCCUAUGAAUCAGAGACCUCCAGUAGCAUCUGUUAUAAACCACCCUGUUAAAUCUUGUAAGUGCAGGUCUAUCUUGUGGAUAGACAGCCCUUAUUUUAAAGGACAUCCAUUAAUCAAAGGUGCUCAGGGCACCUUUACUCCCCAAAAAUUCUACAAGGCCCCCUCCAACACUAUGAGUCUGACUCUGGUAUUAGUUGGCUAAUGUCUCAGACUCAAUAGGGGUGAAGUAACAAAAAGGCAACUGCAGGGUCCCACAUCCCUCCAAAAGUGGCAUUGAGAAUAUUCACUUCCCAGUUGAUUGCUUUUUAUCCCUGACUGAACAGUGAUUGGAAAGGUUCUUCUGAAACCACAUUUGAGCAAAAGGCUGUACACUUGACUUCAUAGGGAAGGGCAAGUGGAUCAGGGUUUGAUUCAGGGUUGGGGCAACACUGACUUGGAUUUGUAGAAAGCUGGAUUAUCAGUACAAUGGUUUUAUGAGACGAGGAGGCAGGGAAGACCUUCCCUCCUUUACCUAGUUUGGAUUAUUUUUUACAUCAGUGCAGUAGAAUAAUAAUGUGUGUAGUCUUAAACCCUGCAGAGGUUUAAACCCUUCAAACAAUUGGUGCUGUUGCUGCCUACUCACUGGUGGUAUGUGAUAAUGUGCAAAUCUCUGUCAGGAAUUAUUUCAGCGUUGUUGUUGUAGUAGCAUCUUUAUUAUGGUCAAAUGACCAAAAUACUAUAUAUGGUGAAAUGCCAACUACUGUCAAAGGGAGUAAUGCAUCUGAGGCUUCCAAUACUGUGUGUUGUAGAAUGUUUUAAAACAUCACAGAGGCAGAGAUAUAUGUGUUGUGUGCCUGAAUGAUGCAAAAACAAUUGCAAGGUCUGGAACAGUAAAGCAUCUGUUUAUUUUUUCAUUUGUCACAUUGUAAGCUUUAGAGCCUAGAGGGUUAGUGGAAGUAGCUUUCCCACCCUAAAGUUCUGAUGUUUUAGAGCUGUCAGUAAAAUGUAAGAGAAAAUACCAUUAGAGAGAUACAAAAAAUUGAUUUGUUCACAUUAUUCAUGUAGGUGACAUUUGAAAGUCAGAUGAACUGCUGUCUCCUUGAAAACAGUCAAUCAGACUGGAAAUAAAAAAAUCCCGCAGCACUUAGGGCCUGUCAGUCUCUACUUCCAGGGACAGACAGGAUAUCAGGGCAUUUCCUAUUCCUGUGUUUACGUAAUGAGGGGAAAAUUAACGAAGAAAGUUUGCAUCAAAACACACAUUCAGGUUGAUUAUAAUUCUAGCAGAUUCUUGAUCAGCUGUAAGCAUUUGCCACAGAUACCUCAAACAUAUGGGGAGGUGGAGGGUGUGUGUGUGAUUUUAUGCCAGUGCCAUUUUCCUGCAGUCUUCACUGGAGGAAAAUCCCUUCAGAUGUCAAUUAUAUGAAAUAACAUGGGUAGGGAGGAUCACACAGAGAAUCUGAAAUAAUUGUUCUGUCAGCCCUAGCCCCUGGAAUAAAAGCCUAAGAUGAAUUUGCAUGGACCUUGUGGUCUUGUAUAUAGGACAUCACUGCCUCUGAUUUAUAAAGGGUUUUCACUUUUCCAGUUCUAAAUAAGUAUUAACAAACGUGCUAAAACAGAAAUCCAGCAUGGGCUAAAGAUGCCAACUGUCCUGUCCUGAUGGGAUCAGCUGCCUUCAUGCUGGCAUGAGACAUAUGAAAGGAAAAAAUGAAGGGGAUCAUAUAACUGGUUAGUAGACGAUUAGUCACAUUUUCCCAGUUGCUUCCUAUUGUAAUAAAGGAACAAUAAAGGUUUUUGUACAGUUACUAGGCUACCAUCCACAUCAUUUCCCCUAACACCCUUUCUCCCCCUUUCAUGAAUAAGCUUUUUGUUGCAAUGCUUUGCUCUAAAGUUUUGCUGUAAUGUUAAUGGCUACAUUUACAUGUAACACUAAACCAUGGUUUAGCAUUAUAUGCACAAGCAGGAAGGAGCCACCACAAAUCUUGGGCUUGUGCACUCCCCCCUUAUCCUUCCAUGCAGCAGAACUUAGUUUAACUUCCCACAAAAUCUGGCAUGUUGUUACAUACAAACCAGCAACUCUGGUUUAAAACGAACACUGGAAAGUUUCAAAACC